AGGUAUGGCGGCAUGCUUACCAUGCAGUCGAACGGCAGCACGGAGCUUGCUCUGGUGGCGAGUGGCGAACGGGUGAGUAAUAUAUCGGAACGUACCCUAGAGUGGGGGAUAACGUAGCGAAAGUUACGCUAAUACCGCAUACGAUCUAAGGAUGAAAGUGGGGGAUCGCAAGACCUCAUGCUCGUGGAGCGGCCGAUAUCUGAUUAGCUAGUUGGUAGGGUAAAAGCCUACCAAGGCAUCGAUCAGUAGCUGGUCUGAGAGGACGACCAGCCACACUGGAACUGAGACACGGUCCAGACUCCUACGGGAGGCAGCAGUGGGGAAUUUUGGACAAUGGGCGAAAGCCUGAUCCAGCAAUGCCGCGUGAGUGAAGAAGGCCUUCGGGUUGUAAAGCUCUUUUGUCAGGGAAGAAACGGUGAGAGCUAAUAUCUCUUGCUAAUGACGGUACCUGAAGAAUAAGCACCGGCUAACUACGUGCCAGCAGCCGCGGUAAUACGUAGGGUGCAAGCGUUAAUCGGAAUUACUGGGCGUAAAGCGUGCGCAGGCGGUUUUGUAAGUCUGAUGUGAAAUCCCCGGGCUCAACCUGGGAAUUGCAUUGGAGACUGCAAGGCUAGAAUCUGGCAGAGGGGGGUAGAAUUCCACGUGUAGCAGUGAAAUGCGUAGAUAUGUGGAGGAACACCGAUGGCGAAGGCAGCCCCCUGGGUCAAGAUUGACGCUCAUGCACGAAAGCGUGGGGAGCAAACAGGAUUAGAUACCCUGGUAGUCCACGCCCUAAACGAUGUCUACUAGUUGUCGGGUCUUAAUUGACUUGGUAACGCAGCUAACGCGUGAAGUAGACCGCCUGGGGAGUACGGUCGCAAGAUUAAAACUCAAAGGAAUUGACGGGGACCCGCACAAGCGGUGGAUGAUGUGGAUUAAUUCGAUGCAACGCGAAAAACCUUACCUACCCUUGACAUGGCUGGAAUCCUUGAGAGAUCAGGAGUGCUCGAAAGAGAACCAGUACACAGGUGCUGCAUGGCUGUCGUCAGCUCGUGUCGUGAGAAUUGUU
rnacentral:rRNA from 1 species